AAUUCCUUGGGGCAGUAGAUUUCAAACCGGAUCCGGAAGUACACAUUUUCGUAGUUUGUGUGGAGUGGGUGCGUGUGUGAGCGAGAGCGAUUGAUUGAGUGAAUGCUUGAUUGUGUGUGUGUUGUUUUUUAUGUGAUGUAAAAUCCUACACACUGAUCUUAUUUGAUCCGGUUAGAGUUUGGCUCUGCUCCGGCUGGAGAUGAUAGGAAAAGCGCUCGCGAGCCCCCGCGGCCAUGAGACGUCGGCGACGAAAAGCUAAAGAGCUACCACGCUUCGUGCUGUGGUCAGAGAUGAUGAAUUGAUCAGAUAUACUAGUUCUUUGGGAGCUUGUGGUUCGCCUCAGGUUUCACACUGGACGAUGAGUACAGAAGCGAUUCUGAUCUAA
rnacentral:snoRNA from 1 species